rnacentral:rRNA from 1 species
CAAUAGCGUAUAUUUAAGUUGUUGCAGUUAAAAAGCUCGUAGUUGGAUUUCGGGUGGGACGCAGCGGUCUCGCAUUGCGUUUGUACUGCUGCAGCCCUCCUUCUUGCCGGGGGCGGCCUCUCGGACUUCACUGUCUGGGGGUCAGAAUCGGCGAUGUUACUUUGAGUAAAUUAGAGUGUUCAAAGCAAGCUUACGCUCUGAAUAUAAUAGCAUGGGAUAACACGACAGGACUCUGGCCUAUCGUGUUGGUCUAUAGGACCAGAGUAAUGAUUAAGAGGGACAGACGGGGGCAUUCGUAUUGCUACGUUAGAGGUGAAAUUCUUGGAUCGUAGCACGACGAACAACUGCGAAAGCAUUUGCCAAGAAUGUUUUCAUUAA